AACGUAUUCAACGUAUUUCGUGGACGCCGGGGGUGGCGACAGAUACACGUGGCGUACUUCCGGUGCCGAAUAAUAUCCUGCUUUGUACCUGAAAGCAGACGUACAAAUGAGAAGACGUUUAAAAGAUUUCCAACAGGAACUGCUGGUGCUCUAAACGUUUCAUUAGCCUGCUGCAUAGACGAAAAGGAUGGAUUAGAACAAUGACAAUGAAUCGAUACGUAACAAUAGUAAAACGUAAUCCAGUACGUGACCAUUUAUGAGAGCCGGGGAAAUGAGAUCGAUGAUCCGCGUUCCAAACCCAUUACAUUCGACGUGGUUGCGUCUGACUAUUGCAUAGAAUUUCUUCUCUGUAUAAACCCAAAUAUCCAUGAACACUAUCGGUCAUUAUUAAUACCAAGC